rnacentral:rRNA from 1 species
GUAGGUGGCAAGCGUUGUCCGGAAUUAUUGGGCGUAAAGCGCGCGCAGGCGGUCCUUUAAGUCUGAUGUGAAAGCCCACGGCUCAACCGUGGAGGGUCAUUGGAAACUGGGGGACUUGAGUACAGAAGAGGAAAGCGGAAUUCCAAGUGUAGCGGUGAAAUGCGUAGAGAUUUGGAGGAACACCAGUGGCGAAGGCGGCUUUCUGGCCUGUAACUGACGCUGAGGCGCGAAAGCGUGGGGAGCAAACAGGAUUAGAUACCCUGGUAGUCCACGCCGUAAACGAUGAGUGCUAAGUGUUAGGGGGUUUCCCGCCCCCCUUAGUGCUGCAGCUAACGCAUUAAGCACUCCGCCUGGGGGAGUACGGCCCGCAAGGCUG